CGCAGACAGAUACCGAGAAGAAGCUGGUUAAUGUUCCAAAGGCACAGUUGGCGAUGAAGACUUGACCUAGAAUGAUGAUGUUUGCAGAUUGCAUUCUUAC